UAAACUAGUAUGUGCAUCUGCAUGAUACCAAACAAAUAGAUGCUUAUACAUGGUCUGUCUCUUGAGAACUGUAGAAAAAACCUGGAACAACCAACAAAAAAAAACAAGGACAGAAGAAAUAAUCAGGUGACAGAUACCAGAUGUCAAGCACACAUGUUUUAAUGAAAAGUGCACAACUGAAACUAACAAUACAUGUCUGUAUUAGUUUAAUGGGCUUUACUGUAUGCUGAGUACACAUACGAAUAGCAACACACGUAGACGUGCAUAAAGGGCAAUGAAUAAAUAACCAGAGACACAGAAUAAAAAAAAACAUAUUUGAAAGAUAAUGGAAAAUAAUUAUUAAAGAAAAUGAAUUAUUAUGGGAAAAAGUUAUGAGCAUGAAGAGGAGUCAGAUAGCGAGGUGUGUGACGUAAUGGUGCAAGAUAAGAGAAAUGUAAUUAUAAUGGGUUAAUAUUACCAAGGCUGGAAAAAACAAAUUGUACAGGGGAUGAGACAAGGUGAGCUCUCCUCCCCUUGCGAACUGUAUAAAAAAAGCAUGUAUUUCACGGUAAAAUCAGUCUGCUCUUGAUAAUGCUUUGAUUUAUGACCUAAGCAUUGCAAGGUCGGCUCACUUGGGUUUUAUUGCUGCAAUAAAUCCUGCUUACUUCAUCCAGAUCUGCACAGAGUCCUGGGUCUCUCUCUCUUUGUUACUCUUUUUACUAAUAACACUGUGUUUGUUUGGUAUUCACUUAAGGCAACAUUAACAGGUGGAAGACAAAAAAUCUCCCACACAGUCAAGAAGCAGGAGAAAUACAAAAAAUGAAAACCAUUAAAGGACAAAAGAAUAAGAAAACAAACAGCCAAACAAAGUGAAGAAGAGUAGGACAGAGACAAAGUGAAACCAGAUCAAAGACAGAAGCCAAUCAUCAACUAUUAUCCUGCUGAUUCUGAUUUGUAAUAUCAGAUGUGUAAACUCACAAUGAGGGCUGUUCUAGACAUCUGGAUAAGAUUGUUGUGGGAUGACAAGUGAAGGGAAGUUUAAGAACAACCUUAUCGAGGACUUGUGACUGCAGUCGCUCAAUAGUUCAGGACUGGAAUGUCCUACAAGUCUACCUGAGCCUCCAACAACAAACCGGAGUCCAUAUUAACUUAAAAGACAUCAACUGUUAUAUUUACCUGACAGCCGCCUAUCACACACUAUGACUGCAGGUCAAUCCUUGUUAUCUGUUAUCACCCAAAUGAGGAUGGGUUCCCUGUUGAGUCAGGUUCCUCUAAAGGUUUCUUCCUAUUGCCAUCUAAGGGAGUUUUCUUGCCACUGUUGCCGUCACUGAGCUCCAUGCUGCUAGACUAGCUAAACGAUCACCUGUCCUGAUCCUCCUGGACCUGACAGCUGCAUUUGCACAGUGAACCACAAAAUUCUAUUAUAUACUCCUACAAGCCUUGGAAUCUGUGGAACAGCAUGGCUGUUUGCUUCUUAGCUAGAAGAUACAGUAGGUCGUAUGAGGUGACAUGGAGGGAAUUCACAUUUGCCCUACCGGUGUCCCACGGGGUUCAGUACUUAGUCCUCUUCUGUUCUCCCUCUAUACCUGGGCUCUUGGUAAGGUCAACUCAUUGCUUGGCUUUUCAUACAUUUUCAUUGUUAUGCAGAUGGUACACAACUUAUUCUUUCCAUUUCUCCCUUAGACACUAAGUUUUUCAUCCAUAAAACCAAAUUGCUGUUCAUGCCUGGUGACUCAUCCCCCGGUCAAGACCUUGUGAUCUCCCUGGACAACAAUCAAAUUACAGCCACUGCCCGCAAUCUCAGGGUAACUGUGGACAACUUUACUCACUCUUGUCGAUUUCUUCUUUACAACAUCAAAAGAAUC